UGUGUCUACGGUGUACUCACUUCUAUUCCU
rnacentral:piRNA from 1 species